AGAAUCAACGCUGGCGGCGUGCCUAACACAUGCAAGUCGAACGAGAAAGUGGAGCAAUCCAUGAGUAAAGUGGCGACCGGGUGAGUAACACGUGACUAACCUACCUUCGAGUGGGGGAUAACCUCGGGAAACCGAGGCUAAUACCGCAUAACAUCGCAAGAUCAAAGCAGCAAUGCGCUGGAAGAGGGGGUCGCGGCUGAUUAGCUAGUUGGCGGGUAACGGCCCACCAAAGGCGAAAGAUCGGUA
rnacentral:rRNA from 1 species